CAGCAGCCGCGGUAAUACGAAGGGGGCUAGCGUUGCUCGGAAUGACUGGGCGUAAAGGGCGCGUAGGCGGAUUGUUUAGUUAGGCGUGAAAUUCCUGGGCUUAACCUGGGGACUGCGCUUAAUACAGGCAGUCUAGAGUGAGGAAGAGGGUUGUGGAAUUCCCAGUGUAGAGGUGAAAUUCGUAGAUAUUGGGAAGAACACCGGUGGCGAAGGCGGCAACCUGGUCCUUGACUGACGCUGAGGCGCGAAAGCGUGGGGAGCAAACAGGAUUAGAUACCCCGGUAGUCCCUGUCUCUUAUAC
rnacentral:rRNA from 1 species